rnacentral:rRNA from 1 species
UACGUAGGUGGCAAGCGUUAUCCGGAAUUAUUGGGCGUAAAGCGCGCGCAGGCGGUUUCUUAAGUCUGAUGUGAAAGCCCACGGCUCAACCGUGGAGGGUCAUUGGAAACUGGGGAACUUGAGUGCAGAAGAGAAAAGCGGAAUUCCACGUGUAGCGGUGAAAGCGUAGAGAUGUGGAGGAACACCAGUGGCGAAGGCGGGCUUU